AACGAACGCUGGCGGCAGGCUUAACACAUGCAAGUCGAACGAGAUCUUCGGAUCUAGUGGCAGACGGGUGAGGAACACGUGGGAAUCUACCCAUCCCUACGGAAUAGCCCCGGGAAACUGGAAUUAAUCCCGUAUACGCCAAGAGGGGGACAGAUUUAUAGGGGAUGGAUGAGACCGCGUUGGAUUGGCUAGGUGGGGGGGUAAAGGCCUACCAAGGCGACGAUCCAUAGCUGGUCUGGGAGGAUGAUCAGCCACAUUGGGACUGAGACACGGCCCAAACUCCUACGGGAGGCAGCAGUGGGGAAUAUUGGACAAUGGGGGCAACCCUGAUCCAGCCAUGCCGCGUGAGUGAUGAAGGCCUUAGGGUUGUAAAGCUCUUUCACCGGGGAAGAUAAUGACGGUACCCGGAGAAGAAGCCCCGGCUAACUUCGUGCCAGCAGCCGCAGUAACAC
rnacentral:rRNA from 1 species